UGCGUAGGUGGUUUCUUAAGUCAGAGGUGAAAGGCUACGGCUCAACCGUAGUAAGCCUUUGAAACUGGGAAACUUGAGUGCAGGAGAGGAGAGUGGAAUUCCUAGUGUAGCGGUGAAAUGCUUAGAUAUCACGAAGAACUCCGAUUGCGAAGGCAGCCUGCUAAGCUGCAACUGACAUUGAGGCUCGAAAGUGUGGGUAUCAAACA
rnacentral:rRNA from 1 species